AAAGAGAGACACACACGGAGCCGGAUUCAGGCUGAGAGAGGCAGAGACCAGAGCAGGGUGGGAUCAACUCCGCAGCGCCAUUCACAUGCCAGAGCUCCCCGUGGGGUCAGGCUGAAGCUGGACGCCGCUGAGACACAUCCUAGCUUAGCCCUGGCCCAGGCCCUGCCCUGCAUCGCUCUCUCCUUUUCUCCGCAAGCAUUCCUCAGUGAGUCACCUGCAUUCCAGCCUUCGUUUCAGGCUCUGCUGGGCACCCGGGCCUGAGACACAGCCCCAGGGACGCCUCCCCGGCUCCCCUUCUGGUCUCAUCUCCAGGGAGCUCUCCUCGCAGGCCUCAUUGUGGCCGUUGUUUGACACUUGCUCAGAUGAUUAUGCGUCUGAGGUCUGUCCUCUACCCCAGAAUACAAGGCAGGGAUCAUGUCGACUGCUCCUGGCUGCGUCCCCAGUGCCCAACACAACGCUUAGCACAGUAGGUGGUCAAUAAAUACUUGUUGAAUGACUGAAUGAAUAAUGGCUGGGCAAAUUGGAGGUUGUCGGGGCUGGGCAUCACUGAGGCCCCAGGUUCUUCCCGUCUGGUGAUUCUGCCAUCUCCUCCCAGCCUAGCUCCUCAUAGCUCCAUGACAGCUGCCAAAGCUCCUGCCAUCUCUUCCUUACACAGCCAUGGCCAAGGCAAGAAAAGGCCCUCAAGUGUCCCCUUAGGAAGAAACUGCUCCCAGAAGUCCCUUGGCAGACUUCCUCACCUGCUGCCAUAGUCGCAUUCCUUGUCCAGCCUCAGCCAAUCUCUGCGAGGGGAGGCAGAGGGUGACGUUUGACUUGGGCCAAUCAGCAUUCGCCCUCAGGGUGCCGUGGGUGGAGUCUGCCCUCCCCAGUAAGAGGGGAUCCAGCUGGGGCCAGGGUUGUGGACCCCUGUGCCGGCGUUCCCGGCAUCCCUGAGGCUGUGGACCCCCACCUGCCUUCCCUCCUGGGAGGGGGGGUCUUUGGGUGGCGGCUGUGGGAAGGGAGGUGGGGCUGCGUGAGGGUUUCGAGCACAGAAGGUGGCCAGACCCCUUCACCUCAGUAAAUAUUUAUAGAGCCAGGAGCGGAGAGGAGGUAGGCGGCCGAGGGUGUGUGUGCGGAAAAGGGGCCUGGGCCAGAGAUCCGAGGGAGAGACAGAGACCCAGCGGAGAGGCCGAGAGACGCGGAGGGAAAGAGGGAGGAGGGAGACAGGGACGGGGAGAGACAGACAUUUUGCCAGGAAGGCCUUGCGUCAGUGCCUUGAACAGUCAGGCCCGUCAUGGUGGGAGUGACGUCCCUGUCCCCUUCUCUCUGGCUUGGCGUCCGCCUCUGCUGGAUGGGGUAAAUGACCCUCUUUCACGGGACUGUCCCGUGGCACCCAUCACUCUGGGAUUGUCAUUGACCCCGUGGCCUCCUUUGGCCUAUAAAUGGCCUGGAGUGGUGGUGGGAAUCGUGGCCCUGGUGACAGGGCACACGUGCUGGAGGGGUCUGAAGCUUGUGUCCCGUCCGUGCCCCACAGGGCCAGUGGGGCAGGGCCGGGGCGAGGGAGGUAUGCCGGCUGCCUGGAAACCCUAGGGGUGUGCUGGCAGUAACGACAAUUCUGCUAACAAUAAUAAUGCCCACUGUGUUCUGAGUGCCCCCAGGUGCCAGACACCAGCCACGAGGGGGGCGCUGCUUAACGCCCUGUAGCCUGUCAUUCCCAUUUUACGGGGGAGGAGACAGCCAUGGUGGCAUCCUGACAAGAGAGCCAGGGUUCAGAGUCGGACCCUGAGCCCGAGUCCCUGCUCCGCCCCUGACAGGCUGGGUGACCGGGGCCAGUCACUUCCUCUCUCUGAGCCUCAGUUUCCCCAUUUGCAAAAUAGGAAAAUGACAGUUUAAAGGUUGACAUGAGGAUUAAAUGACAUGACGUGCAGAAAGCGCUCAGCACGGGGCCAGGCACACAGCAAGUGCUCAAUAAUCGUUAAACGGUGUGCUGGGUAACAGUUUUACAGUAAUUUAAGAAUAAUUCCUUUAAUUGCUCCCGUUUUUUCAGAGGAAGAGUUGAAGUCCAGAGAGGGAAGUGACUUGCCCGAGGUCACCAGCCCAGUGGAGCAGCUGAGCUUUCAACUGGGUGGGCUCUGAGGCCAGCGCUCUCUCUGCCUGCUGUGCCACCAUCACGGCCAGGCCCGGGCUGGCCUGUUUGGGACUCAGUCCUUGUGGGUCAAGAGGAUGCCGGGGGCCUGGCCUGGCAUCAGCCAUGAUCACCCGUUGGGGCGGUUGCAACAUCCCCUCGCUCCGCCAGUCAAUAAAGGGUGCCCAUUGCAAAACUCGGCGGAGAAAUUAAGUGUUGUGUCAUCCUGCGGCCAGGCCCUGGGUGCCCCUUUCCUGCCCGGAGGCCUGGGUGGGGCCAGCUCCUCACUCUCGCCCUCCACGGCUGGCCUUGGAGAGCUGGGGUUGGGGUCAGCAGGGGGCUUCGGGGAGUGGGCAGGGUCCGGACCGCGCUCUGGGUCCACCCACGGCCAACCACUCUCAGGAGGGGCAGGUCCGUCCUCCUGGGUGCUCGGGCCCAGACGCGGGUGAGUCGACUCUUCUCUUGCCCCACAUCCAGGAAUCGGUCAGGAAGUCCUGUCGGCUCUCCCUUUAAGAUACAUCAGAAUCCAGCCAGGGUCCCCUCCACCUCCAACCAGGGGGUCAGAGCACCUUCUGCGGCCUCACGACUCCACCUUCCUCCGCUUGGCCCACUCCCCACGCGCGGCCGAGGGGCCCGUUGCUUCCAGGUGGGUCCUAAGUCGGCUCUCGGCCCUCUGCCCAGAACCCUCCAUGGCUCCCGUCUCUGAGUCUUCCCGAGGGCACAGGGCCCUGCCUGCUCCGGCCCCCGGCCUUUCCACCUGUCUCACUGUUCUCUCCCUGGCUCAUGCGUUCCCGCCACACGGGCCUCCCUGUCGCACUGGGCAGGGCUGACCUCCUUUCACUGCCCUUCUCUCGGCCUUCGGGCUCUUCCCCCAGUUCUGCCGCACAGCUGGGCCCCUUGCCUUACUCAGGUCUCAUCUCAAGGUCACCGCCUCCUGGAGGCCUUCCCUGGUUACCCUGCUAGCUGUCACCCCAGUCCUUCUUGACUUCCACCACGUGAUACAUUAUUUAUUUGUUUGUCUUUCUCCUUCCUUAGAUAGGGCCUGUUGUCUGUCUUGUUCAUGAUGACCCCCGGCGCUCAGCCUGGGCCUGGCACACAGUAGGUAUUCCACAGAGAUGUGCUGAAUCCGUGAAGGGGUGGCAGGAGGGGUGACAUUGGUGCAGAUCGCGCCUCCGUGAAUCGCAAGCCCCCUUCUCCGGCUGGUGGCGUGCGGACGGUGCUAUGGGCACACUCCGCGGCCUGCAGGUCGCAGCUGGGGGGGUCCUCCUGGCUGCCCUGUCGAGUGGCCCAUGCUGCCCAGCUCCCUGACGCGCUCACCCGGCGCUGGGCUGCUGUGUUCCCCUGCUUCUCAUCAGCCUCCUCCCCAGACCCGGAGCCCUCUGAGGACCGGCCCUCAUCUGCCUCGGUUCCACUGCUGUCCCUGGUGCCCAGCAUGGGGCCUGGCACCCUGUGCAGGUAUUGGAGGCUGGCUGAUCAAGCUUUGUGUCACAUGCCCAUUUGCAGGGCCAGUUGUGGCCAGGAGGGAGGUACCAGGAGACGCUGCGCCCGGCCCUGAGGCCUGCGGAGUCAGGGCGAGAAAGGGGCCGCUGGGCCCUGAGCGUGAGGACCCGGGGUCAUCCUGGGCUCACACCGAGUCCUAAUCUGAUCUCCUGUCUGGGCCACUCACAGCAGAUCCAUUCACCAGCCGCAGUGUGCUAACUCACUCCGGACCUAUCUCCACGCUCCACCUCGAUGCUUAUCGGCUUCCUUAAUUAAGUGAAGGCGCAGCGCGGCAGGCGAUGCCCGCAGCCUGCAGGCGAGUCGGCCCGGCCCCCUAAGCCGGGAUAAUAGCUGCUCCCACGCGGGCUGAGGCCUGCGCCGCCAGCUCCUUCCUGCCCUGUUCCAGGCCUGGGCGGGACAGGCCUGCUGAGACCUAGGGAGCCACAAACGCUCACCACCGAGGCCUUAAACCGGCGGUGGCGCAUGGGCCAGGUUGGCCUCCAGGUGCGUUGGGUUUGGCCCAUGUGGUUCUUUUGCUGAAAGUCAAAAUGAGCUGCCAACACUGAAAAAUUAGGACACUGUCUGCAAACAUCCGGAUCUCUGGAAGAUGUGGGGACUCUGGGCUCACAGGUGCUGUGUGCUGGAGCUGAGGAGUGGCUGUCCCCACACAGGGGACAUGGCGUCAGUCGCCCCCCCCAUUUCACGUUGUGUCCCUACCUGGCUCACGUGGGCAGUUGAAGGUGCCACCUCCGCUCUAGGAUUAGAGGUCAGUUGCCAUUUGCAAGAAGGGACACGGAGGCUCAGAAAAGGCAAGUGACUCAACCGAUGAUGCACAGUAAGCCUGGAGCUCAGGUCACCGUCAGCGGGCACGUCCUUCCUGAGCACCCACCGUGUGCCAGGCACUGGGGACACAGAGGGACCAUCACAGAGCCAGCCUUCUGGGGGUGACGGUCUUCUGCCCCACAGCUGUAUUGUCCCCUUUAUCGCUGGGUGACAGUGUCUGUUGAGACAGGUCCUUUCUUAUCCCCGUGAGGCAGCUGCAAGUAGGUUCCCCACCGCGGCUGGGCCCGUCCCAGGACAGGGGCACAGCCAUCGUGGAAGGAAGCCCCUGGCAAGCGUGCCUGCCCCCGGGGCCCCCGCUCUGCGCCCUGGGCCCUCUGAGAGCAGGGGGGCGAGCAGCGUCUGGUGGGAGGAGUGAGGAGGGUGGGAGCGGGGUGGGGACGGGGACGUGAGCAGAGGGGGCAGUGGUGUCAGCUAGACAGAGCGCGAGGACGGCUCCAUCCUGGGUGAACCAAAGGUGAAUCAGGAAGGCUUCUCCCACUGCCCUCUGAAGGCAAGGCGUGGAGGGGCGAGCCGCAGACCUGUCCCAGGUCCCCACCGACGAGUCUAGGAAAAAGCCAUUUGUGCACCUGGCUUGGGAGAACGCCCCGCCCCUCCUGCAGCGCAGCCCCUGGUCAGGGGAGGAACUGUGGCCUGGAGCCCCCGGGCCCUCAGCCCUGGACCCGGCCUGGGUCCCCAUGGACGCCAAGGCCGUCAGGGCUCCUGCAGACCUGCCCGCCUGCCAGGAGCCACCGCUGAACAGCACGAAGCAGCCUGGCCCCGUGGCCGGCUCCCCACUGACGCGGGCGUGAAUAACAGUCCCGGCGGUCAUGUGCGUUUGCUAAAAAUAACCUUGACAUACUUUUGCGUUGGGAAACAAUGUGGAUUCCAAACAUUCUCAAAGGGCAGAGAGGGGAAAAAAAUGAAGAAUGGAAAUCAAGUUUUCGAGCUUAGUAAUUAAUUAGCCUGUAAACAAAUGACUCACGCUCUUUCCUGGCUAUUUUUCUUUCCGUUCUGCGUGGAUUUUCGCAGGGGCCCGGAGAAGGAGGCCGAGUGAGCCAGCCGAGCGGAUAGGCUGGACGGGGCCCAGAUGCGUCUCCCCGGGACGAGGAGGGGGACUGUCCCGAGGACGAGUUGGCCAGCUGGAGAGUGCGAGGAACAGCUUCAGGUGGAGGCAACAGCAGGGACGGUGGCCCUGAGAACUGGAAGAGCGUGGGGUGUUGGAGGAACAGUGAGGGUGCCUGGGCAGCUCCAGGGGAGUGGGCUGGGGGGUCAGAGAGGACCGUAGGAGCCGGACCACAUGGAGCGUGUCGGCUGUACCAAGGCAUCUACACUUGAUCCUGAAGACGGUGGGAGCCAUGGGAGGGUUUUAAGCCAAGAAGGAGCAUCAUCUGAUUUGUACAAUGAUGUCACUUAAAAAAUGGAAGAUCAGAAAAAUAAAUUCUAAAUGUUCUCUGUU